AGGCAUAAGGGAGGCGGCCCAAGGGAGAGAGAGUCCCUGACUGAGUCCUGGAAAGGAGUUGGUUAGGACUUUUUGUCAGGCAAAGGGUGGAAACUGAUAUCAGGGUAGGGUGUGCAGGCUGGGCUGGGGAAGGCCUCCGAGGACUGGGACAGGCUGAUCAGCACUUCUGGUUGCGACGGUUAUUUUGAGUCAUGGGCCAGCUAGCUGGCUGGCUGGGGCAGCGAGGCUGUAAAUCUGUUGCUCAGCAUUCCUUUCCAAGGUGGGGACAUUCUACAACCUUGGUUGAUAUUCUGGAUCUUUUAAGGCCAGUUCCUGAAAUUCUUUAAGUAAAAGGCCUGGUUAAAUAUUACAAGAGCACAGAAGAGCACUAUAAACGGCUGUUUUCCUUGUAUGACCAAAGUCUCAGGGUUAGCGAGUUUGGUGUCAAGCCAGGUAGUGGCGUGGGGUGUGUGAUCCGUGGAAGGCAUGAGAGAAUGCUCUAGUGGGGGGUUAACCGAGCCAGCCCGUCCCUACUCUGUCUCAGGUAUGACUGUGUAAAUAAAUGUCCGUCCACACCCUGGCGGCAAAUGAAAUGCCCUUGCCAGCAGACCAUGCCCAGAGGUUGUUUGAGCAACUGCCUCCCAGCACCACAGGGUUCCUUAAUUACCAUAAAGGAUGUUAAAAGUCAUUCAGGAUUUGUGUUUGGCCAGAAGUUUGAGCGGUGUCUCUUUUUUUUUUCUUUCUUUCUUUUUUUUUUUUUUUUUGAGACGGAGUUUCGCUCUUGUUGGGCAGAGGCUGGAGUGCAAUGGCGUGAUCUCGGCUCACCGCAACCCUCGCCUCCCGGGUUCAAGUGAUUCUCCUGCCUCAACCUUCUGAGUAGCCGGGAUUAUAGGCAUGUGCCACCACGCCCAGCUAAUUUUUUUUUUGUAUUUUUGGUAGAGAUGGGGUCUCCGUGUUGGUCAGACUGAUCUUGAACUCCCGACCUCAGGUGACCCACCUGCCUCGGCCUCUCAAAGUGCUGGGAUUAUAGGUGUGAGCCACUGUGCCCGACCCUGAGCGGUGUCUUAGUUAGCGGGGGAUGCUUUAACAAAAUGCACAAAGUAACAAAAGAGCCAAGCCAUGAAAGAGAAAGCAACAGGAGAAGCAAGGAAAGCACAGAUUUACUGAAGACAUUUCAGAGUGGGAGCAGGCUCAAGCAAGCGGCUCAGGUGCCUCUUCUUUUGGGUUUUUGUUUUGUUUUGUUUUUUGAGACCGAGUCUCUGUCGCCCAGGCUGGAGUGCCAGUGGUACGAUCUCGGCUCACUGCAAGCUCCGCCUCCCGGGUUCACGCCAUUCUCCUGCCUCAGCCUCCCGAGUAGCUGAGACUAUAGGCACCCACUGCCACGCCUGGCUAAUUUUUUUGUAUUUUCAGUAGAGAUGGGGUUUCACCGUGUUAGCCAGGAUGAUCUCGAUCUCCUGACCUCGUGAUCCGCCCGCCUCGGCCUCCCAAAGUGCUGGGAUUACAGGCGUGAGCAUGAAUUUCUUCUUUACAUGUAGCUUCCAGUACCCAGAUCACAUGAUUUUUGAUGGAAGUCCAGUGUGAUCCGUAUUCUUGUUCCUCUAUAGGAAGUUGGGGAAGUCUAUGGACAUGUCCUCAGCUUGCAGAUUCUCUCCUGGGCUGUGUCCAGUCCACUGACGUCCGAGGCACAAUCCCCCGUGUGACCCUGCCUGGCGGCGGCCUCUUGUUAGAGCUGUAAGUCACACAGGCUUCUGCCUGUCCUCUAGCUGAGUGUCACUGUAUUGCGUCCCACCACCAAAAGAAUCUUUAGAUCUUAUAAAACAUCAAUACACAGGCUUCUGCCUCUCCUCUAGCUGAGUGUCACUGUAUUGCGUCCCACCACCAAAGGAAUCUUUAAAUCGUACAAAACAUCAAUAAAGGAUUUGAGUCCUAAAUAUACAAGGAUUUCUUUCUUUCUUUCCUCUCUUUCUUUCUCUCUCUCUUUCUUUCCUUCUCUCUUUUCUUUCUUUCCCUUCCUUCCUUUGUUUUCUCUCCUCUGUUUCUCCCUUUCUCUCUUUCUCUUUCGUCUUGCUGUUGCCCAGGCUGGAGUGCAGUGGCGUGAUCUUGGCCCACUGACACCUCCACUUCCCAGGUUCAAGUGAUUCUCCUGCCUCGGC
rnacentral:lncRNA from 10 species